rnacentral:rRNA from 1 species
GAUUAACGCCGGCGGCGUGCAUAACACAUGCAAGUCGAACGAUGAAACUUAAAUGAUUUCUUCGGAAUGAACUUAAGUGGAUUAGUGGCGGACGGGUGAGUAACGCGUGAGUAACCUGCCUUACACAAGGGGAUAGCCGUUGGAAACGACGAAUAAUACCCUAUGAAACUAUCACUUCGCAUGAAGCGAUAGUCAAAGUGUUAGCGGUGUAAGAUGGACUUGCGUCUGAUUAGCUAGUUGGUGAGAAAAAAGCCCACCAAGGCAACGAUCAGUAGCCGGCUUGAGAGAGUGUACGGCCACAUUGGGACUGAGACACGGCCCAGACUCCUACGGGAGGCAGCAGUGGGGAAUUUUGCACAAUGGGGGAAACCCUGAUGCAGCGACGCCGCGUGAUUUAGAAGGCCUUCGGGUUGUAAAAAUCUUUUGUAUAGGAAGAAAAUGACAGUACUAUACGAAUAAGGUCCGGCUAAUUACGUG